AGGUUUUGACAGGCUGUUUAAAAUAGAAUUGAAUUAAACACACUGUAUCACUAAUAUUGCUAAACUCCCUAUUUUUGGCACUUAGUCGACUACCCUCCCUUACAAGCACCAUUUUCAUUAAAACCAACGUUCAAAACUAAACAAAAAUUAACAGAAUUAUAUAAGCAGUGAACAUUUCUCCCACAUCAACUUAUUGGGUGAAGGAGGUCCCUUUAGAGAUUCAACAACUAGUCAUGAAGGAAAAAAGGGUUUUUCAAGGAAUAUAAGAAGUGUGUGUUCUUGUUUAUUCCAAGUCUGAGGGAAGAUUUUUUUUACUCUAAGGAACUCAGUAGAUGGUAGGUUUGGUUGAAAGGAAAUGAUUUAAUCAAAGAUUUAAGGGCUUAUGGACUAGUCCACUCUAAUUGGAUUUUCUCCGGUGCAAGGAAGGAGAAAGGUUUAGAGGGAAGAUUAAUAGUCUUUAUU
rnacentral:lncRNA from 1 species